AUUGAACGCUGGCGGCAGGCCUAACACAUGCAAGUCGAGCGGAUGACGGGAGCUUGCUCCUUGAUUCAGCGGCGGACGGGUGAGUAAUGCCUAGGAAUCUGCCUGGUAGUGGGGGACAACGUUUCGAAAGGAACGCUAAUACCGCAUACGUCCUACGGGAGAAAGCAGGGGACCUUCGGGCCUUGCGCUAUCAGAUGAGCCUAGGUCGGAUUAGCUAGUUGGUGGGGUAAUGGCUCACCAAGGCGACGAUCCGUAACUGGUCUGAGAGGAUGAUCAGUCACACUGGAACUGAGACACGGUCCAGACUCCUACGGGAGGCAGCAGUGGGGAAUAUUGGACAAUGGGCGAAAGCCUGAUCCAGCCAUGCCGCGUGUGUGAAGAAGGUCUUCGGAUUGUAAAGCACUUUAAGUUGGGAGGAUGGGCAGUAAGUUAAUACCUUGCUGUUUUGACGUUACCGACAGAAUAAGCACCGGCUAACUCUGUGCCAGCAGCCGCGGUAAUACAGAGGGUGCAAGCGUUAAUCGGAAUUACUGGGCGUAAAGCGCGCGUAGGUGGUUUGUUAAGUUGGAUGUGAAAGCCCCGGGCUCAACCUGGGAACUGCAUCCAAAACUGGCAAGCUAGAGUACGGUAGAGGGUGGUGGAAUUUCCUGUGUAGCGGUGAAAUGCGUAGAUAUAGGAAGGGACACCAGUGGCGAAGGCGACCACCUGGACUGAUACUGACACUGAGGUGCGAAAGCGUGGGGAGCAAA
rnacentral:rRNA from 1 species